UACGUAGGGGGCAAGCGUUGUCCGGAAUCAUUGGGCGUAAAGCGCUCGUAGGCGGAUCAGUAAGUCUGUGAAGAAAGACCCGGGCUCAACUCGGGGAACGGCAUGGAUACUAUUGGUCUUGAGGUAAUCAGAGGAUGAUGGAAUUCCCGGUGUAGCGGUGAAAUGCGUAGAUAUUGGGAAGAACACCGGUGGCGAAGGCGGCGACCUGGUCCUUGACUGACGCUGAGGCGCGAAAGCGUGGGGAGCAAACAGG
rnacentral:rRNA from 1 species